AGCGAAGUGUCUGCUCUAUCACC
rnacentral:siRNA from 1 species